GCGGAUGUGGCGGAAUUGGCAGACGCGUCAGAUUUAGGUUCUGAUACCCCAGGGCAUGCAGGUUCAAAUCCUGUCAUCCGCA
rnacentral:tRNA from 1 species